AGAUAGAAAGACAGACAGUUGGCCUACACAGAGUUUGGAGGAGUAGGGUCUGCAGCAGGCCCCCGGGACUAGAGAAAGCCUCGAAACUGGGACCCUUGCUCCCAGCCCAGCAGAAAGAGGCUAAUGCACGUAGACUCCUACCAAGAAGAUGCAGACUACACAUCCAGCCCUGACUACAUGUAAGACCCUACCUCAACAAAACUACGUGGAGUCCCUGAAGCCUAAUGCAGAGACCAGAUCCUUACUGACACACUCCCCACGAGUGUCACCACCCCAGAGACCCAGGGGGUGCGGGCACAAUUGGGGGCCUGCAAAAGGACAGCUAGCUAGAUUGACCAAAGCUUUGCCUGACCAUCUGUGAAAGAGACCCGCACAUCAGGACACUGGUUCUUUCUGUAUCCUAACCCUGGGUCUCAGGAAAAGCAUGGAGCCACCCCACCCUGGGGCCCAGACAGCAGCUCCCUGUUUGUGAGAGGAAGGGUGGGAAGCCACGAGGACUUCCCCACCUUCAGCAGAACUCUGGGACGGGAGGGGCAGGAGCUCUCCAGGAACACAUGGCCUCUUUGAGGAGCCAGGCCUGUCCAAGUAAUGGCAGGCAGGCAAGGGAGGCAGGACUAGCUGGGCACAAUCGCGCCUCUGUCCUAACGGCCCUGGGUCCUUGUGCGUAUAUACAAACACGUAGCUUUACACAAACCCCAAAGGCACCCCCCCAGCAGCCACCCACAUACUCAUGCACACACAUCUGCGUAGCCCUGGACACUCACCUGUGACCUUCCUCCACCAAAAAAAGAAAAAGGAAAAAAAAAAAGAAAGAAAAAGCCCA
rnacentral:lncRNA from 1 species